GUCUAAGUAUAAGCAAUUAUACAGCGAAACUGCGAAUGGCUCAUUAAAUCAGUUAUCGUUUAUUUGAUAGUACCUUACUACAUGGAUAACCGUGGUAAUUCUAGAGCUAAUACAUGCUGAAAACCCCGACUUCGGAAGGGGUGUAUUUAUUAGAUUAAAAACCAAUGCCCUUCGGGGCUCACUGGUGAUUCAUGAUAACUUCUCGAAUCGCACGGCCUUGCGCCGGCGAUGGUUCAUUCAAAUUUCUGCCCUAUCAACUUUCGACGGCUGGGUCUUGGCCAGCCGUGGUGACAACGGGUAACGGAGGGUUAGGGCUCGACCCCGGAGAAAACGCCUGAGAAACGGCGUUUACAUCCAAGGAAGGCAGCAGGCGCGCAAAUUACCCAAUGCCGACACGGCGAGGUAGUGACGAGAAAUACUGAUACAGGGCUCUUUUGGGUCUUGUAAUUGGAAUGAGUACAAUUUAAAUCUCUUAACGAGGAACAAUUGGAGGGCAAGUCUGGUGCCAGCAGCCGCGGUAAUUCCAGCUCCAAUAGCGUAUAUUAAAGUUGUUGCAGUUAAAAAGCUCGUAGUUGAACCUUGGGCCUGGCUGGCCGGUCCGCCUCACCGCGUGCACUGGUCCGGCCGGGCCUUUCCCUCUGGGGAGCCCCAUGCCCUUUACUGGGCGUGGCGGGGAACCAGGACUUUUACUUUGAAAAAAUUAGAGUGUUCAAAGCAGGCCUAUGCUCGAAUACAUUAGCAUGGAAUAAUAGAAUAGGACGUGUGGUUCUAUUUUGUUGGUUUCUAGGACCGCCGUAAUGAUUAAUAGGGACAGUCGGGGGCGUCAGUAUUCAAUUGUCAGAGGUGAAAUUCUUGGAUUUAUUGAAGACUAACUACUG
rnacentral:rRNA from 1 species